UGCCAGCCGCCGCGGUAAUACGGAGGGGGUUAGCGUUGUUCGGAAUUACUGGGCGUAAAGCGCGCGUAGGCGGCUUUUUAAGUCAGAUGUGAAAGUCCACGGCUCAACCGUGGAAGUGCAUUUGAAACUGGGAGGCUUGAGUAUUGGAGGGGGUGGUGGAAUUCCCGGUGUAGAGGUGAAAUUCGUAGAUAUCGGGAGGAAUACCGGUGGCGAAGGCACUUUACUGGGCUAUUACUAACACUGAGAGACGAAAGCUAGGGUAGCAAAUGGGAUUAGAUA
rnacentral:rRNA from 1 species